AUGGGGGUUCGGGUUUGGUGCACGGCGGCAGGGCACCGCCCCGAACCCGAACUGCAGAGACGCAGCGAGCGUCCAACCCGGCUGGGUCUGGCCCCAAGGGGUCCCCCGCGGCCCGCCUCCCGUCCCCGCCUCCUGCCGUCGGGCCUGGGUGCUGCAGGCCAGCGGUCCUCCCGGACGCCCCGCCACGCCGCCGCCCCCCGAGCCCCGAGCAGCCGAGGCCAGGAGCCAGCUCCAGGAUCUCAUUCCACCGCUGCACCCCAAGGCGAGGAAGCCCGUGGCGGAGAGGACCACCCACCCAAUCUCAGAGGGGCCUUGGGAAGCGCUGUGUGUGGCAAUAGGACCAAGAGGGCUUGCUGUAGGCCUCUCCCUGCUGGACCCAAACCCAGGAAACAUAGCUGGCCUGGGGGCCAUCACAUCUCCUGGGUGAGACAGCAGCUGUGGAAAGAAGAGGAGGGAGGCAAGCCGGCGGGAUUUGCUUGGGGGCCUUGGGGUUUGAUUUUUGCUUUUUCUCUAAUUCCCACUGAAAGGAACACUUGGCCCCCACUGCAGAAGGAGUGCCCCAGAGGAGCUGCACGUGCUUCCAGCCUUUUCAAAGUGGUAUUUGUUUGAUUGAAAGGCAAGUGACAGAGAGAGAGAGAGAGAGAGAGAGAGAGAGAUCUUCCAUUGGCUGGCUCACUCCCCAGAUGGCCGUAACAGCCAGGGCUGGGCCAGGCCAAAGCCAGGAGCCAGGAACUCCAUCUGGGUCUCCCAUGGGUGUCAGGGACCCAAGGACUUGGGCCUGCUUCCAGUGCCCCUGAGGCCUGUUACAGGGAGCUGGACCAGAAGCGGUGUUGGGACCAAAUUCCAGGUUCCUGGGAUGCAGGUGACCCAGCGACACCUGCCCCUUCAGUCUCUGCUUUCCGGUGUGUGUGCUGUUUCAACCAAAGCUGUAAGCGCUUCGUGUAGACCUUGUCCUCCCCACGGUGGCCGGCUGCCUGCGUACCAGCCUGGGGCCAUCCCUACACUUCUCAUGCCUACCUUGAGGACAGGUGGGCAGUUUCCAAUUUCCUGCUGUGACCAAAUGCAAAUAUCUUUAGGGUACAUUCCUCUGAGUGGCAUCUUCAGGUCAGAAUGUGCAAAUUGAAAACACUGUUGGUUCUUAUUUCACAAGCUGCAUGUUGUCCUACAUUCCAGUAAACACGGUGUGUGUGUAUACAGUAGGCGCUCAGUCCUGGCCCUGGGUGGAGUUCCAGGCCAGCUGGUACAGGGACCUGAAUGUGGAGGCCCUUGCUUUCCCAGGAAGUGAGGCAGCUGGGCUGAUCCAGGGCUGAGGGAGCCUGGAGGGUUUCCCAUGGGAGCAGAGCUGGCGUCCAUGCCGCUGGCCCGUGGGUUCCCGCUGCUCACAGGAGCCCAGGGACGGCAGAAAUGUGGACGCUUCAACACUGAUGCCCAAGGACCUGGAUGUCCAGCCCCUCUUUCUGCUCUAGGAAAGCGGCUCUUUGUCCGUCUUCUGAAGCAGCCACGGAGGGGCCGGCGUGGGGCCGGGGUCUGUGGUGGAGCAGUCGGACUGCAGAGUUGGCUGUCAUGGCCAUCACUAAAUCCAUGGCUUCAACUCUGCCUCCCUGGGCAC
rnacentral:lncRNA from 1 species